rnacentral:rRNA from 1 species
UACGGGGGGGGCAAGCGUUGUUCGGAAUUACUGGGCGUAAAGCGUGCGCAGGCGGUUAUGCAAGACAGAUGGGAAAUCCCCGGGCUCAACCUGGGAACUGCAUUUGUGACUGCAUGGCUAGAGUACGGUAGAGGGGGAUGGAAUUCCGCGUGUAGCAGUGAAAUGCGUAGAUAUGCGGAGGAACACCGAUGGCGAAGGCAAUCCCCUGGACCUGUACUGACGCUCAUGCACGAAAGCGUGGGGAGCAAACAGG